UAAGUAAGUAUAAAUGGUUUGCUAAAG
rnacentral:sRNA from 1 species